GGGGGUGGAUCUUAGCUCAGUGGUGAGGCAUCUGAUUUUCAUGCAGAAGGUCCCUGGUCCAAUCCCUGGCAGCCCCA